CCUACGGGAGGCAGCAGUGAGGAAUAUUGGUCAAUGGGCGAGAGUCUGAACCAGCCAAGUAGCGUGAAGGAUGACUGCCCUAUGGGUUGUAAACUUCUUUUAUAUGGGAAUAAAACGUUCCACGUGUGGGAUUUUGUAUGUACCAUAUGAAUAAGGGUCGGCUAACUCCGUGCCAGCAGCCGCGGUAAUACGGAGGAUCCGAGCGUUAUCCGGAUUUAUUGGGUUUAAAGGGAGCGUAGGUGGAUUGUUAAGUCAGUUGUGAAAGUUUGCGGCUCAAACGUAAAAUUGCAGUUGAAACUGGCAGUCUUGAGUACAGUAGAGGUGGGCGGAAUUCGUGGUGUAGCGGUGAAAUGCUUAGAUAUCACGAAGAACUCCGAUUGCGAAGGCAGUUCACUGGACUGCAACUGACACUGAGGCUCGAAAGUGUGGGUAUCAAACAGGAUUAGAUACCCGAGUAGUC
rnacentral:rRNA from 1 species